UCUAUACUAUACUAUUAAAGCCGAAAGAUUAAAAGUUUGGUCGGUCGGUACUUGGGCCAAAAUACGGGCCUAUCUAUAUAACUAAUUAUUCUUUUUAAUUUGGACCAAAUUACGGGCCUAUCUAUAUAACCAAUUAAUAAUUCUUUUAAAAUCGUCGGUACUUGGGUCAAAAUACGGGCCUAUCUAUAUAACUAAUUAUUCUUUUUAAUUUGGGCCAAAUUACGGGCCUAUCUAUAUAACCAAUUAACAAUUCUUUUAAAAUCGAAACAAUAAAAGUUUGGUAGGUCAGUACUUGGGCCAAAAUACGGGCCUAUCUAUAUAACCAAUUAUUC
rnacentral:lncRNA from 1 species